AGUGCUGGGAUUACAGGUAUGAGCCACCAUGCCCGGCCCUCCCUUUCUUUUGUGUCUUUGGAUUUGUCUUUGUGGAGAGGGUACCAGCCCCACCUGCAGAGUCAAGUCCCUCCUCCCACCUCAGCACUGCUAGAAAAGAGCUUCAGGAUGGAGCCACACAUGUCACUCAAGCCCAAGGGUCAGUCAACAGCCCACAGCCCUAAAUUCAUCUGUGUCCAAUGCCAGACCCUGCAACUGCUGAUUUACAUGAAUCAACUCCAUCAUGCAAGCCUCAUGACAUCCCAAUGAGCCACCAUCCUGUGAGGAAGCCCAGAGCACAUGAAGAGACCACCUGCACAUGUUCAGAUCCACUGCCCCAGCUAAGAUCUCCGCUGACAGCCAGACCAAUCACCAAUCUUAGGAGCUGGCGAGCCUUCAGAUGGUCCAACCUUUGAGGCCCCCCAGAGGAGCCAGGUGGAGCAUAGAUGAGCCAUCCAUGUGGAUCCCUCCACCAAAUGGAAGAUUUAGGAGCAAAAUAAACAAUGUUGUCAUUGCUUUCACCCACGAAAUUGUUGAAUAAUUUGUUUUGCUGCUUAAGUAGCUGGAACACUGUGUUACCGAGGGAAGAGCAACAACCAACAGGAGAGAAUAGUCAGUUAAGUAAGAGAUUUUUGACCCUCUCCCU
rnacentral:lncRNA from 1 species